rnacentral:rRNA from 1 species
UACGUAGGGUGCGAGCGUUAAUCGGAAUUACUGGGCGUAAAGCGUGCGCAGGCGGUUGGCAAAGUCAGCUGUGAAAGCCCCGGGCUUAACCUGAGAAUGGCGGUUGAAACUAGUCGACUAGAAUCUGGCAGAGGGGGUGGGAAUUCCACGGUGUAGCAGUGGAAAUGCGUAGAGAAUGUGGAGGAACACGAUGGCGAAGGCAGCCC